GUGCCAGCAGCCGCGGUAAUACGUGUGGUGCAACCGUUGUCCGGAAUUACUGGGCGUAAAGAGUACGUAGUUGGUUUAAGUAGUCUCCAAUUAAAGACCAAGGCCUAACCCUUGGGAGUGUUGAAGAACCCAUUAAACUUGAGGAUCGCAGGGGCUAGCGGACCGAUCGGUGUAGGAGUGGAAUCCGUUGAUAUCGAUCGGAACACCAAAGGCGAAGGCAGCUAGCUAGGCGAAUCCUGACACUGAGGUACGAAAGCGUGGGUAGCGAAUGGGAUUAGAUACCCCAGUAGUCCACGCCGUAAACUAUGCAGACUCGAGCUUGGGGAGAAUCGACCCUCCUUUGGCUCAAAGCAAACGCGUAAGUCUGCCGCCUGGGGAGUACGAGCGCAAGCUUAAAACUCAAUGGAAUUGGCGGGGAGACGCACAAGCGGUGGAGCGUGUGGUUUAAUUCGAUACUAAGCGAAGAACCUCACCCACUCUUGACAUCCUAGGGAUCCUCUGGAGACAGAGGAGUGCCGCAAGGAACCUAGUGACAGGUGAUGCACGGUCGUCGUCAGCUCGUGCCGUGAGGUGUUCGGUUAAGUCCGUUAACGAGCGCAACCCUUACCCUUAGUUGUAUUCUCUAAGGGGACUGCCCUGGUAACGGGGAGGAAGGUAGGGAUGACGUCAGAUCAGCGUGUCUCUUACGAGUGGGGCGACACACGCGCUACAAUGGCCAGUACAAUGGGCAGCCAAACCGUGAGGUGGAGCUAAUCUCAUCAAAGCUGGUCCAAGUUCGGAUUGAAGGCUGAAACUCGCCUUCAUGAAGCUGGAAUCGCUAGUAACGGCCGGUCAGCCAUACGGCCGUGAAUACGUUCUCGUCUCUUGCACACACCGCCCGUCACACCACGAAAGCCGGAGGUACCCGAGUUUUCAUUUUUUAAUGGAAUUACGGUAAAUUCGGUGAUCAGGGUGAAGUCGUAACAAGGUAGCC
rnacentral:rRNA from 1 species